AAACGGGCUUGCCGCGGGCCGCGGCCAGUCGAGGCCAUCAGAGGCCGUGGGUCUCGAGCUGCGGCUUCUGAAACGUGCGUGAUGAUCGUGGCGAUCUGUCUGCGUGGCGAUCCGUUCGAAUUUCUGGAUGGCAGACCAGCGUUUUUGGUUGGGAUUCGUGUUCCUUGGGCCGUUUUUUAAAGGGUGUGUGAUGGAAAAAAAGAAGCUUAUGAUCCCUAUCCUGUGGCACACGAUCGCGAUCGUGGAGAACAAAUUCCGACACCAUCGGGGUUGAUCUUCGCUUUCACACGCAAAAUUUUCCUUCCAAACUCAAGCUGGUGCAUUCUGUGAUGCAAUUUUGAGAUCGUUUUGGAGCCAAAAGCACACACAACACGGCCACCGGCCACUAGAACAAAAACGAUCGCCUGAACAAACACCCACCCGAGGUUUCCAACGGUACACUGCGCACUAUUUGAUCCACCGAGGGCCACAGGAAACCCACCCCUAUUUGUGGAGGGUUGGGGUUUUGCUGCAGGACGCGCGGCAAAGGUUAAUAAAAAUGACACUUGUCGGGGUUUUUCGGAGGCGGGAGGGCACCGGCGGAAUGGUAUGGCGAGAGUACGCCAUCUGUCCCCGCCUUCAUUCACCCUCACGAUCACGGGCUCUUAUUACGGACACCGCAACCACGUGCCCUCCAUUCCUGUGACCCCGCGAUCCUCGCCGACGCCAUUGUUCGUGCUCAUCUCUCGCACCGUCUGUCCCUUUUGUGCACGUUCGUGUUGACCCCCCUGAUCAGACCAGGCAAUGGACCAUUAUCUCCGUGGCUACUUGGAACGUCUCGAUGAUGCUGCUGUUGCUGUGAUGAUGCCUGAUGUGAUCUUGCAGCAAAGGCACCCAGUUUUCCUUCCAACAACCACCGACAGCUGGGGAGUUGCAGCAGCAACCAGACGAGAGGACUUCACGCUCCGGUGUUUUGAUUGUAAAAAGAAUGACGCACACACGCACACACACACACGCUUGCCACCAAAUUGGGGGCAAUCUCCGGAGCUGACCCCAGCUGAAGAGCGAGUACGAUCGAUUGGCUGCGUUCCGCAACACCCAAGCAAAGUUAGCUAAGCCUCCAAACGCAACUUCACAAACGGACACGAUCAACACUCGCGUUGUUGUACGCGGGCUUUUGUUGACGCUCCGUCGCAGCACAUCUUUAUCACGUUCGCGCGCCUUUAGGUUCAUGUAACGGGGCUUAGCGUGGAAAUUGGCGUGGCGCAGGAAACAAAAACCAAAACACUACACCACUGCAGCGAGAGGAACAAAAACAACAACAAAAACACACACGC